rnacentral:lncRNA from 1 species
GUCCUGUUUACCACAGCCAUGGAAACAGAGUGAACAAGAGCUGCACUCCUAAGGUAAGUUCUGGAAGUGGGGAGGCUAGAGGCAGGCCAGGUAGGUGCCAGUGCACCUGCGAAGCCCUCCGAGACAUCCCACACCUCAGCCCUGGGUGAAGCCCACCUGUCAUUCCUUCUCAUGCCUCUCCCUGGUUCCUUCCCAGCCCCAGAGCCCCUGUCAUGACCCCUUCAUCUCCUGUGAGGUCCUUGUCUAGCGUUCCUGACUGCAGCCCUAGGGCUUAGCAUGCACCUAGAACAUAGUAGGUCUCAAUAAAUAAGUGCUGCAUAGAUUAGUAAGGUGCAUGGGAGGCAUCACUGAGGCUGUAGUUUUUUGUUUGUUUGUUUGAAACAGUCUUACUCUGUCAUCCAGGCUGGAGUGCAGUGGCUUGAUUUCAGCUCACUGCAACCUCCUCCCAGGCUCAAGCGAUUCUCCUGCCUCAGCCUCCCAAGUAGCUGGGAUUGCAGGUGUGCACCACCACGUGCCACUAAUUUUUGUAUUUUUAGUAGAGACGGAGUUUCACCAUGUUGGCUAGGCUGGUCUUGAACUCCUGACCUCAAGGGAUCCGCCUGCCUCAGCCUCCCAAAGUGCUGGGAUUAGAGGUGUGAGCCACGCACAGCACCUGGCCUGUUUUCAUUUUUUAGACACAGUUUCCCCCUGAUGCCCAGGCUGGCGUGCAGUGAUGAGAUUUCGGCUCACUGCAACCUCGGCCUCCCAGGCUCAAGUGAUUCUUACGCCUCAGCCUCCCGGAGUAGCUGGGAUUACAGGUGCGCGUCACCACAUCCAGCUAAUUUUUGUAUUUUAGUAGAGACGGCAUUUUUGCCAUGUUGGCAAGGCUUGUCUUGAACUCCUGGCCUCAAGUGAUCUGCCUGCCUCGGCCUCCCAAAGUGCUGGGAUUACAGGCGUGAGCCACCGCGCCCGGCCUGGGGCUGUUUUUUGUUUGUUUGUUUUUUGUAACCUUUCUCAACCACUGGUGUGUUUGAGUAACCACGAAAGGUUUGGAUUCUCCCCAGGCAAAUGCACCCCAAAUGUGACACAGAAUUUCAGGGACACCCCUUACCCGAGGUCAUUCACAAAGCCCAGCUUCAGAUUUGUUUGUCUGAGGGAAAGGAGGCUCCUGAGAUCCGGGGGAGACGGUGGGUGUUACCAAGGGGGACAUGGGGAGCCCAACCACCCCACAGCGGGCUGGCGAAGAGUGGGGUGGAUGAACCCCUUUUCUUGUACUCUCUGCUGCAGAAGGAAAGGGGGCGAGUAGAAGGUGAUCCGGG